UGGGGAAUAUUGCACAAUGGGCGCAAGCCUGAUGCAGCCAUGCCGCGUGUGUGAAGAAGGCCUUCGGGUUGUAAAGCACUUUCAGCGGGGAGGAAGGCGAUAAGGUUAAUAACCUCAUCGAUUGACGUUACCCGCAGAAGAAGCACCGGCUAACUCCGUGCCAGCAGCCGCGGUAAUACGGAGGGUGCAAGCGUUAAUCGGAAUUACUGGGCGUAAAGCGCACGCAGGCGGUCUGUCAAGUCGGAUGUGAAAUCCCCGGGCUCAACCUGGGAGAUGGGGUCGAAAAUGGCAGGCUAGAGUGGGGUAGAGGGGGGUAGAAUUCCAGGUGUAGCGGUGAAAUGCGUAGAGAUCUGGAGGAAUACCGGGGGCGAAGGCGGCCCCCUGGACAAAGACUGACGCUCAGGUGCGAAAGCGUGGGGAGCAAACAGG
rnacentral:rRNA from 1 species